CCCGUCCUGCCCAGUCUCCCACCAAUCCCCACUCAAGAAGGCACGCCUGCGCAUUAGCUGUACGACGCCCCAAUCGUCCUUUGUCGAAGCCCAGGGAUCCACCUUUUGCCAUAACAAAAGGACGUUGGCAUCCAAUCAGGAUUGAGGCUGAUGUGGGCGGGUCCAGGAAAAGCAACACCCAAUGGCAGUACAGAGGCGAAGUUAGGCGUGAGAAAGCCAGUCCCAGGAAAGCAGCCCUUCAGUCUCAGCAGGAGCCUGAAAAUUGGGGUCAGAAAUCCAGUGUGGAAAAUUCUGACAGCUGUCAGGAAGGAGGUUAUUGAAUUCAUUGGAGAGUGAGUGAUGUCCUAAAUUUGAUGGAGAGAAUCGCUGAAAGUUGGAGUGAGAUGGGCAUUCCAAGUGGGUUGACCUUGCCUGAUACAUCUGCAGUAUAUGUCUGAGACUGCCACCCUCAGCAUUGCUUGGUGCUUUGGAAGCCAUGGAAGCCACACCUGCCAGUGUGGGUUUUAGACUCUGGUUAUAAGUGCCUGUUUUUUUUUUUUUUAAGUAUUUGUGAUCCUAAAGGGUCUUCUUUGACUUCUUCCCAACUUGAUGAAAAGGUUAGAAAAUUAUGACUGAAUAGGGGAAAGCUAAGUUAGAAGCUAGUUCCCAGGGACCCUCACCCUAACUUUUCUGCUGCAUGGUUAGUUUCUCCUUCCUUUCUGAAGAGAGUGCCCAGAGGCUGUCUGUGCUUUGCUCUCCUCUUGGGAGUUGUCCCCAUCAAUCCCAUAGGAGGGGUUGUUCACCCAUCAUGGCAGCCAUGGAGGCACAUGACUCAGUUCUCCUUUGAAGAGAACUUGCUGGGCUGUUGGGGUGAAGGGACUAGCUGACUGACAGCUUCUAGCUCCUGCACCUUUGGAUCCACUG